CACAACCAGGAUGACCCAUGCCGAUAAUCAAAAAAAAAAAAAAAAAAAAAAAAAUUCAUGGAUACCCACGAUACUUCCCAUCAGCGCGCCUCCCAAGUCCCACCCAAAUACUUGUAACGGCGCGGCUGAUGAGUUAAACGUAUCUUAUUAUCCUUCUACCCCCUUUCCAGAACAUUAGCCACGGGGACAAUCAGCGCGGCUGGGAGCGGAGGUGCGGAUUUCAUACCUCCACCGGACGCCCGUUGUAGCGAGCUUGGCGACUUUAUCCCGACAGGCUGACAGCAAUAUGCAAUAGCCGGGCAAGGAUUGGGGAAAAUCCUGGGUAAGAACUAAGAAAUCAAGCCAAUUCUAUUGAUCAAUGACG
rnacentral:sRNA from 1 species